rnacentral:rRNA from 1 species
GUGGGGAAUUUUGGACAAUGGGCGCAAGCCUGAUCCAGCAAUGCCGCGUGCAGGAAGAAGGCCUUCGGGUUGUAAACUGCUUUUGUACGGAACGAAACGGUCCGGGUUAAUACCCUGGGCUAAUGACGGUACCGUAAGAAUAAGCACCGGCUAACUACGUGCCAGCAGCCGCGGUAAUACGUAGGGUGCAAGCGUUAAUCGGAAUUAUUGGGCGUAAAGCGUGCGCAGGCGGUUUUGUAAGACAGGCGUGAAAUCCCCGGGCUCAACCUGGGAAUUGCGCUUGUGACUGCAAGGCUGGAGUGCGGCAGAGGGGGAUGGAAUUCCGCGUGUAGCAGUGAAAUGCGUAGAUAUGCGGAGGAACACCGAUGGCGAAGGCAAUCCCCUGGGCCUGCACUGACGCUCAUGCACGAAAGCGUGGGGAGCAAACAGGAUUAGAUACCCUGGUAGUCC